GCCAGCAGCCAUAUCACCCUGCAACUCACAACUGGCAACCCACUGAAGCUCAGCAGGUGUGAGCCUGGUCAGUACCUGGAUAGGAGACCGCCUGGGAAAAGCUAAGGUUGCUGCUGGAA
ensembl:rRNA 5S_rRNA 5S ribosomal RNA